UGCAGAUGAUGUGAAGAAUAUUUGCUAUCUUAAUAAUUGAUGCAGACACCUCCACCAAGAUCACUGAUGCA